UGGGCCUAAUGUUAUGCUGAAGGGACCCAUUCCAUAAGAGAGUCGACAUGAUCAUCGUAACCUGCGCUUCUCCUUCUCCGCCAUUACCAGAGAUUGCCAUCGUGAAGAAUCUCCUCCUAGGGUUUUCACGACAUCGUUUGUUCUUCUCUUAAUCAACUGAAACACCCACAGUUACAGAUCCACCGCGUUAAACGCCUCUUUAAUCCAUCAACCACAAUGGGUCUUUAAUGCGAGUCUCUUUUCUCCAGGGCGGUCUAUUUGUUAGUACAAAUAGAUGCUUUGUUUGUUGAAUCAUUGUAUGGUUUGAGAAGAAAGCCAGUUAGGUUGAGACUAAGCAAAGGUUCCAGUACAGAAGUCAACGUUCUGGUUUAAAGAAACGCCGGAGAGUCCUCUCUGUUAUGUUUCUGGUUGUGUUACCGUAUUUUAAAUUAAAGUUGCAUGGUAUAUAUAACAAGGAAAAGGAAGCGAGGCUCUGGGAGAGUUUAUGGGGAUCAGAGGAUCAAGGGUUUGAUGAAGCUAAUUUCUUUACAGGAGAGGAAAUAGUUGUUUCAAGAAGGGAUAAUGGGAAUCAUGAGCUUUAUGUUUGAGUACAGUUAGCUACGAGAAUUAAGAAGUUUGUAGCUGUGUGCUAUCCUUGGAUAGAUGUAUCAAGUGAAGGUAGUUUCUGAUUUAUGUAGAGCACGGAUGCUUUGUAUAAUAGCUGAUAUGAUUCUUUCUAAUAGUUAGGUUGAGCUUCAUGCCUAGAGUUGGUAAUCUUGAUGUUCUAAACUGAAACCACAUUCCGUGCUGUUAGUCCAUUUCUGGAUGGU